UAGGGAAUAUUGGGCAAUGGACGCAAGCCUGAUGCAGCCACGCCGCGUGAGUGAAGAAGGAUUUCGGUUUGUAAAGCUCUGUUGGUAGAGAGGAACAGCGCUAAGAUAAACUGUUAGGCGUUUGACGUUAUCUAACGAAAAAGCCACGGCUAACUACGUGCCAGCAGCCGCGGUAAUACGUAGGUGGCAAGCGUUGUCCGGAUUUACUGGGCGUAAAGCGCGCGCAGGCGGUCAAUUAAGUCGGAUGUGAAAGCCCCCGGCUCAACCGGGGAGGUUCAUCCAAAACUGGUUGACUUGAGUGCAGUAGAGGAGAGUGGAAUUCCAUGUGUAGCGGUGAAAUGCGUAGAUAUAUGGAGGAACACCAGUGGCGAAGGCGACCACCUGGUCUGUUACUGACGCUGAGGCUCGAAAGCGUGGGUAGCAAACAGG
rnacentral:rRNA from 1 species